GUCAAGCCACGGGGGAGGGGUGCUCCCGGGGAACCAGAUGGGCCUCUCGGGCGCCGCGGCGCGCACGGCGAACGACGUGCGCGACGCGGCCGCCUUGCCGGCAGCGCCGAGGAAGGAGGUCCGGGCGCCGGCCAGCCCGUUGCUGGGGAGCGCCGCGACGGCGGUGGCGGAGGAGGAGGAGACCAGCGCCAUCGUUGCUGCACCAGUGCGCGCGCUCGCUGGCCGGCUGUGCCUGUAGCGGGGGGAGGCGCGCGCGUGCGUGCGUGGUGUGGGAGUGGAAUUGAGCGUGUGGUGCGCGCGGCAGUUUAUGGGGAUCUAGGCGCCAGGCGCCGGGUGGCCCUGGCUUAUCCGGGAGGAGAUAGCGAGCAAGGCCGUGGCGUGCCACGCGGCGUGGAGAAUCCGAUCCCCUGGCUACGCCGCGCCGGGGCCUUGCUGACGUGGAGGCCAUCCCGGUCGGGGCCUGAUGAAAAUCGGUGCCGAGGCUCGCGAUUGGACGACGUGCUCCGCAUUUGGCACGCGGGUUGCAGCCUUCGAUGUACUAUCGGCAUGAUGAUAUGUGCAUAUAUCCACGCAGAUUUUCUCUUAAGACUACUCGUAAUGCUAAGUAACAUAGAAUAGUAUAACAUAGAUAUGUUAUUAGUUUAAGUUAGUACCUCCACAGUGGAUAAUAACAUUGAGGUAGUAACACUUAGCCUUUCAUUUAUUAGUCUAUAGACUCUUCUUGCCUUGGUAUCCGUUAUGUUACUUCUAGUAUGAGUAACAUGCUAAGAGGGUGCUUGGAUCUAAGAAACUAAAACUAGUCUGACUAAAAAUAGUCUCUUUAAGAGGCUAAAGUUUUAAGUACCCCUAACUAAAGAGGGGGCUAAAACUAGUCUUGAGACUAAUUUUUUUAGUCAGGGAUACCCCUAGUAAAAUGUAGAUUAGUCCUCUCUCUCCUCAUUUAACUCCUUUCCUUUAACAUAGACGAGUUUUGGAUUGGAAGGUUUGGAGGAUAAUAAAUGCUCAUUAACUUGAUUUUAGUCUCUUUAGUAUUUGGAUCCAAGCGUGGGUGAGGCUAGCAAGUUUUAGUCCCACUACUUUUAGUCAUGAGACUAAAACGUAUCCAAGCACCCUCUAAGUUACUCAAUUUCUCUCUCUUCUCAUUAAUUAGUUGUCACAUCAUAUUUCUUGCUUAGGUGGCAUUUAUGUUACAUUGUCUAAGGCAAUGUACGGGUCCAUCGGAAAAAAUAUGUACUCUCUCCUUUUCGGUUUACAGGGAUUAAAUCUAAAAUCUUAUCAACCAAAGUAAAUUGUGAGUGGAUGACACUAGUCUUAGGCUGGCCAUAAUGGGAGUAACUAAGUUAGUAUCAUAUACUUGGGACUAACAAACAUGAUGAUGUGGCAGACAAUUAAAGAAGAGAGAGAGGUUAGAGUAACAUAGGUAGAUAUCGUAAAAUGUUAAAUGCUAUGCUACUAUGUGUCAUGCAUGUCAAUAAAUAAGGUCAUCUAUGAUACUAGUUUAUGAUACUAUGCAAUAUGAAGGUAGUAUCAUAUAAUAAUAUCACAUGCAUGAUACUACUAUAUGAUACUCCCGACUAUGGUCAGCCUUAACUAAUCGAUUUAAUAUUUCUCACAUAUUCAAUUUUCGAGAAAAUAAAUAUAGCAUCCUCUUUCUUAUUGGACUUGCAUGGUGCGUAAAGAUACAUGCAUAGCCACUAAUUUCCUUUCUCUUAUCUCUAUGAAUUAAAUGUGACGUGAGACUCAAAGCACUUUAAUUCAAUUAGACUUAAAAUGAGCCUAAUAUAAUGAAAAUAUGAAAAAAUUGAGAUAAGCCCUAUAAACCAAAAAGGAGGGAGUACAUGUAUUCAUAGAGAAAUGAUGAUGAUUAACGGUCGACAUUAAAAAAUUGUUAUAUGGUCAGCGCCCCCCCCUAGUGGGGCCCUCCAUCUGAUUUCUAUCCAACCAGAAAAUUCUACCGAGCUCGCUAAGAGCAUCUGCAACCUACUUUGCAAAUUUGUCCCUCAAACGUUCACGUCAUUUGCUCCUUACCAUCUGAGUCUCUCAUACUUCAUCCCCUAGAUUCAUAUAAAUCAUGCAAAAUAAACCUACGUGCUACGAUACACUAGCUAUGAUUCGUCAUCGGAGAUGUCUGUCGGUGCCCUGGCACCGGGUGGACGGCGCAGAGGAAGGUUGCCACUCCUCCUCCUUCUCAUAUAUGUACGCGAGCAUCUCAGUAACUUCCACGGAUGCUCCGCCUCUAUCUCCUGUCGACGAUGGGGUCUUUGCCUUCACCUCCGACUCUAGGUGAAAGGAAUCGAGCAUGGCAUCCUGCUCCGCGUGCAGAUCCGUUUCCCCAACGUUACCCACAUCCUCCUCCUCCUCAACCUCCCCCUCCUCUUCCUCAACCACACCCUCCUCCUCCUCCAAGUACUUUGGAUCCAACGCAUUCAAAGGUAGCCCCGCGGCGAUCCGGGCUUCGCUCCUUGCACGGAUAUGCUCAAGGAGAUCUAGCCGGUGCUCUAGCGUUACAUAUGUCCAACAGUGCGGACGACGAGUGGAAAGUGGCGGCAACGACGGACGAGGGGAUAAAAUGUGGACGGUUAGGGUUUCAGUGCCGGCGGUCGGCUUAAAUAGUCGGGCUAGGCACAACACGGCCCCCUGGAGCGGCGCGAAGCGGCUUCAUCGGUCCGACGGAGGAGACGAGCUUUGGACUGCUGUGUGAUGAGUGUGAUCUGCAUUGGUUUUUUUUCGUGAAGAGGAACGGGUUAUCGCAGCACAAUGCAGGUAAGUAUUUCCCUCAGUUAUGAAACCAAGUUUUAUCGAACCAAUGGGAAUACCAAUCCUCAACCUCUUCAGCGACUGCACACAAAGAAACAAACGACUUGCACCCAACACGGGCAAGAGGUUUGUCAAUCCCCUUGAUCUCGUUAUUUGCAAGAAAAUGAGGUGUAUAGGUAAUUUUUGAUGAUUUUAAAUUGCAAAAUAAAAUAAAACACAAAUAAUGGCAGCAAGGCAGUAGUAGCGUUUGUAAAUAUAUAAGUGAAUAGACCCGGGGGCCGCAAUAUUCCCUAGUGGCAUCUCUCAUAGCAAAGGCAUAUGGUGGGUAAACAAAUUAUUGUUGUGCAAUUGAUAGAACAACGAAUAAUUAUGCGAUUUUCACGACAAUGAACAUGUGUAUAUAGGCAUCACGUCCAUAAGCAAAUAGGCAGACUCUUGCGUGCACCUAUUACUACUAGUAGAACUCCCGUGCGUUGCUACGGGCCACAAUACAAAUAAAUGAAUCUAUCAAAUGAUUAAGGUUGUCUUUAAGGCCGAAGCUUAUUUCUUUCUCGUACAUCCUGGCGAGUCUGGACAUCAUGGGCACCCAACAGGCUCCUUUUUAUCUGUCUGACAGUUCACGCUCCCUAAAUCCAUACCAUAUGUUAGAAAUAUGCUUGUUCAGACUAUUCACCGUGUUAUAUCUUAAGCACGUAGGACGAACACAAAAACCUCACCCAUAGACACAUCCUUCCCAUUUCCUCCUACUCCCUCGCAUUCCCGAUAGAUUUUUUCCAUAGCAAGACAUUUCUAGUUGGAGUCAUGUCCUUUGAAACCAGAUGACACCCACAUCACCUUUACUGCGGCACCCUUAUGUUCUUAACCCUUUAAAACCAGAUAACACCCACCUUAUAUUCGACAUAGGACCUUAUGUUCUUCACCCUUUAAAACCGGAUGACGCCCACCUCACCUUCAGCAUGGCGCCCUAUGUUGUUCAUCCUGCCAACCGCCCCGCUUUCCUCCCUGAUCCCCUCCCCUAUGUUUGUGCUGAUCAACCACCGCCAUAAGCGGAGGAUGCGUGCGCCGCUCAUGACCCCCACCCCCAAAACCAUGAAUGCGGAUCUGGCGUCUCUUGAGCAAGCAAACAAAAAUUUAAUUUGUUGGGAUAAAAAAGGUAGUUAAUUGCCCAUGAGUUGCAACAGAAACAUAAAUAUUACUAGUGAAAUCAAUUUACUUGCAGAAAAUCGCUAUGGAGAAGAGGCAAGAAAAUAUUAUGUCGAGUUUACAACUGCAAAAUAAACUUGUAAAAUAACCAAUGGAGGAAAAAUACACACGAGUUAUCAUUGCAUAUGUGUGUUGCUACAAGCUAGUUCACUCUUGAUCGAUUCUUGCUAGAAAAUUCACUCGCUGGAACAUCCAGCAUCAGUUUUUAUGCUCUCGCAACAAAAACUCUUAUUUUGCAACAAAAACUCUUCUUAUGAACGAUGCUGGAUUAGAAGGCUACGUGUUGCUACCACUACCUUAUGCAUCCUCCUUUCUAUGGUCUUCCUCUAAUCUUCCCUGAUAGAUCCAUGUCUUCUAGUCGCUUCUAGAGGACCAGCGAGUUCAUGAGGAAGUGAAUGAACAAGUUGUUGGGUAACGUACCAUAAAUUCAAAAAAAAUCCUAUGCAUAUUCAGAUCUUCCUAUGGAGAGACCAGCAACGAGAGAGGGGUGAGAGCAUCUUCAUACCUUUGAAGAUCACUAAGCGGAAGCGUUGCUAGAACUCGGUUGAUGGAGUCGAACUCGCGGCGAUUCAGAUCGCGGUGUGAUUCCGAUCUAGUGCCGAACCACGGCACCUCCACGUUCAAAAGACGUGCAGCCUGGUGACGUCUCCCGCACCUUGAUCCAGCAAGGAGGAGGGAGAGGUUGGGGA
rnacentral:lncRNA from 1 species